rnacentral:rRNA from 1 species
UGAGUACGAGAUGCUACGGCAUCGAAGCAGUCUAUGUCAUACUUCCAAGAAAAGCUUGCAAUGUCAUAAACAAAUAAUGCCUGUACCAUAACCGACACAGGUGGGUAGGUAGAGUAUACUAAGGGGCGCGAGAUAACUCUCUCUCUAAGGAACUCGGCAAAAUGACUCCGUAACUUCGGGAGAAGGAGUGCCUUAUUUUUAUAAGGUUGCAAUAACAAGAUCCAAGCAACUGUUUACCAAAAACACAGGUCUCCGCUAAGUCGUAAGACGAUGUAUGGGGGCUGACGCCUGCCCAGUGCCAGAAGGUUAAAGAAGUUGGUUAGCAUUAGCGAAGCUGAUAACUGAAGCCCUGGUGAACGGCGGCCGUAACAAUAACGGUCCUAAGGUAGCGAAAUUCCUUGUCGGGUAAGUUUCGACCCGCACGAAAGGCGUAAUGAUUUGGAUACUGUCUCGGAGAGGGGCUCGGUGAAAUAGACUUGUCUGUGAAGAUGCGGACUACCUGCACCUGGACAGAAAGACCCUAUGAAGCUUUACUGUAACUUGAGAUUGAAAUUGGACUUUAUCUGCGCAGUAUAGGUGGGAGACGUUGAAAAUAUUCUUGCGGGAAUAUUGGAGUCAUCAGUGAGAUACCACUCUUAUAAUGUUAGAUUUCUAACUUUGUAUCAUUAUCUGGUCAAAGAACAGUUUCAGGCGGGCAGUUUGACUGGGGCGGUCGCCUCCCAAACGGUAACGGAGGCGCACAAAGGUUUCCUCUGAACGUGUAGAAAUCGUAUCUAGAGUGUAAAGGCAUAAGGAAGCUUGACUGUGAGACCUACAAGUCGAGCAGGGACGAAAGUCGGUCUUAGUGAUCUGACGGUGCUGAGUGGAAAGGCCGUCACUCAACGGAUAAAAGUUACUCUAGGAUAACAGGCUGAUCUCCCCCAAGAGUUCACAUCGACGGGGAGGUUUGGCACCUCGAUGUCGGCUCAUCGCAUCCUGGGGCGGUAGUACGUCCCAAGGGUUGGGCUGUUCGCCCAUGAAAGCGGUACGCGAGCUGGGUUCAGAACGUCGUGAGACAGUUCGGUCCAUAUCCGGUGUAGGCGUUAGAAUAUUGAGAGGAGCCUUCUUUAGUACGAGAGGACCGAGAAGGACAUACCUCUGGUGUACCAGUUAUCGUGCCAACGGUAAACGCUGGGUAGCCAUGUAUGGAGAGGAUAACCGCUGAAAGCAUCUAAGUGGGAAGCCCACCUCAAGAUAAGUAUUCCC